rnacentral:lncRNA from 1 species
GACAUUUGAUGCUGAUAAUUCAGCAGAACACAUGUGUACGGUGACAUGGCAUGCCAACAUGGAUGGUCACCUAGGAUGAAGGAGAUGAUUAAUCCAAAAAUAUAAGUUAGAUGACUAAAUUAGCCUAACACCCUGUUUAGAUGUUAGUAUUGGAGGUCGGAAUUGGGAAUUGAAAUUGGUAGCUCCGAAUACCGACUGUUUGGAUGUCCUGGAAUUUAGAAUUGGAAAUCAAACUCAAUACCAACCGGUAUUCAUCCCACCCUCACCCCUUCACCCUCGAUACCGACCCAACCCGCUCUGUAUUCGCUGGAAUCAUCUUCUCUCUCGCAUCAGCUCCCUCCCUCCGCCCGUCAUCUGGCCGCGCCCGCCGCCCUCCCAGCGGGCCACCCCUGCCUUCCCUCCCUCCACCGACGGGCUGCCCCCGUCUCCCCUUCCUCUGCCGGCAAGCCAUGCCGCCACCGCUCCCUCCCUCCACUAGCGAGCUGCCCCCAUCUCCCCUCCCUUUGCCGAUGAGCCGUGCCGCCACCGCUCCCUCCCUUCGCUAGCGGGUCAUGCUGGUCUCUCCUCACCUUCCUCCGUCAGCGGGCCGCUUCGUCCUCCCCUCCGUCCGCCAGCGAGCUGCGCCACCACUGCUUCCUCCCUCUGCCAGUGGGCCGCACUAGCCUCUCACCUCCCUUCAUCGGCAGGACGGGCCGCCCCUCCCUCCAUCGGCAGGCCGCGCCACCUUCCUUCCUUCCUCUCUCCGUUGAUGGGCCGCGCUAGCUCCCCUCAAUCUACCGGCGAGCUGCGCCACCCUCCACUCCCUCUCUACCGGAGGCCCGAGUGUCUAGGUGGAGCGGCAGCCGACAGCGGAUGCUUGCCCGCUCACUGAGAUCCCUUCUUAUUCGAUGCCUCUCUCUCUCAGACUAGGGUGAAAAGAUGAAGAAGAAGAUGUAAAUUCUCAAUUUCAUAUCAUAUACAUCCAAACAUGAAUCGGUAUUUGCCACCCUAAUCAAUUUCAACUAGGAAUUCCAUCUACACCCAAACGACAGAUUUGGUAUUGUAACUCAUUUCCAAUACUACUCUGAUUUGGUAUUGAACUCAAUUCAAUACCAAGGUCUUCAAUAUCUACAUCCAAACGGAC